CAAGGAGGGAACUCUGGCAGUUGCUGGUGCAUGCUCCAACCCACACCUGGAAUAAGUGAGAUUCAAGUGUGAGGGUAAUGCUGCGGUUCUUCAGCCGUGCUCAAGAUGGUCCUACACUCACAGCAUGUACCACCGACUCUCAUCUGAAGGAGAUUUAUGUAGUCUACUUGUAAACCCUCUUCCCAACCCAGCUAAUGGAGUUCCUGCCCAGAUGCCAUGCUGUAUACCAGAGAACUUCUGUCCAACCAACCCUAUGAGAAAUCAUAGUAGUGCAAUAAUACAGAUGUGAGAAGAGAGUGGAAGAAGAGAGAGAAAGAAGUUCAGAAAUGGGUAAAUGAUAAUAUUCAAACUAAAUAUGAACCCACAUGUGUCCCCACAAUACCUGAAGGAUAACCAUGACACACCAGUUCCCCACAAAUACUUUGGUCUUUGAGUCUGUUUAUCUCAAGCUAUACAACUUGCAUAUGGAAAAUAAUGCACUUA